GACGAACGCUGGCGGCGUGCUUAACACAUGCAAGUCGAACGAUGAAGCCUAGCUUGCUGGGUGGAUUAGUGGCGAACGGGUGAGUAACACGUGAGUAACUUGCCACUUACUUUGGGAUAAGCGCUGGAAACGGCGUAUAAUCCUGGAUAUUACCUUUCAUCGCAUGGUGAUUGGUGGAAAGCUUUUGCGGUUUGGGAUGGACUCGCGGCCUAUCCGCUUGAUGGGGAGGUAGUGGCUCACCAUGGCGACGACGGGUAACCGGCCUGAGAGGGUGACCAGACACACUGCGACUGAGGCACGGCCCAGACUCCUACGGGAGGCAGCAGUGGAGAAUAUUGCACAAUGGGCGCAAGCCUGAUGCAGCGACGCCGCGUGUGGGAUGACGGCCUUCUGGUUAUAAACCGCUUUAGGUUAGGAAGAAGCUUUAGUGACGGUACCUACAGAAUAAGCACCGGCUAACUACGUG
rnacentral:rRNA from 1 species